rnacentral:lncRNA from 1 species
GUUGGUGAUGGCUCCGGUGUAGUGAGGACAUGUGCAGCUAGGAUUAGGGUUCCUUAGAACGCAAUAUUUAAAUACCCAUUCCGCGUUGAUCUGGGCUGUCCGUUCGAGGAUACGCGACCCUUUCUCGUCCAUUGGAUCUAUCUUAUUCGGAGAAUGAAUCUAGAUCGCACGAUCAGAUUGAAUUUGACCUUUUGAUCGCGCCUAAAGAGGAAACGCAUCUAGGUCGUUCACAUGCGUGGGAUGAGAUCUGAACCGCCAGAUUGCCAGACAUGCGAAUCACUCAUAUGGCUUUUAGUGUGGUGCCGAUGUCAUCGAGGUUGCCAUGCGGCAUGCUCUAGUCCCUGGGGCUAUUGACCGAAUUCAAAUUUUCUUU